CACACCGGUGUGACACUUAAUGCCAACCGCCUUCCGCGACUGGUGCACUGCAACGCUAGAUCUGUGCAAUGCUGACCUGGCCUGCUGAGUCCUUUUAGUAUUCCAUGUGUGUCGGAUAGUCCAUGCCCAGCACCAGAUUCUGGAAACUGAUGUUGUACUCCUUUCUGAGCUCUGCCACAAGUAGAGAUUGCCAAUUGACAGAAGAAAAGAUUUACAGGGUGCACUCAAAAUCUCCUUGGCAAAGAUGCAACAUCCCCACUGACUAAUGAAAUUCCUGGUCCGUGUCCUCUGGAAGUGGAGCAGAAGCAUUUGAAUGGUACCAUAAACCUCUUGUCCAUGGAUCAGCAAGAAAUGAAAGAUCUUGUGCUGAGCUGGAGCUCACUUAGUUUCAUGAAGUUUUGUGCUGCAAGGAAGAAAGGAAAGAAUGAGACCUUUUAAAUUUAUACUCAGAACCUGAGCAUUACUGGUAUCGUCUUUUGAAGAUGUCCUUGCUGCUGGGAGGCUACUGCCUGUGAUGGAGCUGGCUGCGUUACUUACUGCUGCUGUGGCCCCUCCAUACCAAACAGUGAUGCAACCAAUUAGAUUGCUUUCCAUAGUACAUCUGUAGAAAUUUGCGAGAGUCUUUGGUGGCACACCAAAUCUACUCAAACUCUUACUGAAAUAAUGCUGCUAUCGUACCUUCUUUGUAAUUGCAUCAAUAUGUUGGACCCAGGAUAGAUCUUCAGAGAAUUGAAACUGCUCACUCUUUCCACUGUUGAUCCUUCAGUGAGAACUUCCUCUUCUUGAAGUCCACAAUCAAUGUCUUGGUCUUACUGACGUUGAAUUUUAGGUUGUUGUUGCAACACCAUUCAACCAGCUGAUCUGUCUCACUCCUGUAUGCUUCCUCCACACUACCUGAAAUUCUGCCAACAAUAGUUGUGUCAUUGGCAAAUUGAGCUGUACUUAGCCACAUGGUUCUGGGUGUAGAGUGAGCAGAGCUGUGGGCUAAGCAUGCAUCCUUGAUGUGUGCCAGUGUUGAUUGUCAGCGAGGAGGAGAUGUUAUUUCCGAUCUUCACUGGCUGUGGUCCUCCGAUGAAGUCAAGGAUCCAAUUGCAGAAGAAGGAACAGAGGCCCAGGUUUUUAAGUUCAAGUUCAGAUUUAAUUGUCAUUCAACCAUACAUGAAUACCCAUGAAUACAGCCAAACAGAACAGUGUUCCUCCAGGGUCAAGGUGAAAACACAGUACCAACAGUCAUAAACAGCACAAGGCACAUACAGCUCAUGUAAUGACGAUAGCAAUAAACAUAUAGUCACAAAAAAAUAGCCCACGUCCCUAUGUGUCAUGUCCUGUAGAACGGUGAUGCAUGAGAUGUUGUCAGCAAGAACCAGCCUACAGCAGUCCCAUCAUUACACGCUGGUGCAGUUGCAGACAAAUGCAAUCAAGCUUGUCUUUCACCGAGCAAACACUGGAGAGCAGCACCUACAGGAAUGGCCAUCCCCUAACCCAGCAUGGAUGCCUGUCGUGCCACAUCAUCUCCCCCAGUUGUUUGCAGCUGGAGAGGUUGCUGUGACCGAGCGUGUUGCUGUCUUACCAAAGGACCAUGCAGUAUUGACCUCUUGUGAAAUAAAGUAGGGCAAGUGAUUGAAGUGCCAGUGGGGGAGCACUUUGAAACCAGUGAUCAUAAUUCUAUUAGUUUUGAAAUUGUUAGGGAAAACUGAUCCACAUAUUGGGGCAGGGCCUAUUUAGAUGGUAUAAUACAGGAACUUACAGAAGUUCAUUAGGGAAGACGGUUUGCAGAUAAGGGGAAUGUUGCCAAGAGGAAAGCUUUUAAAAGUGAGAAAGUAAAAGCUCAGGGACUGCAUGAUCCUGUUCCAUGUUCGUCCAUCAUCGAUGUUGAUGAAGACUCGACACCAUUGAUGGUGUCAAGACUAGGGCGUGGUCUGGAUUUAAGUGAGGAAGAGUUGCGCAGUGUCAGCCUCACUCUCUCUUCCCAAUUCCCAUCUGGAACCAGUGACAAGACAGAAUCGAGACGGCUGGAGAUGGGACUAGGUGCAGUGGAUGACCAGGACGUCUUCUGUGUCUUGUCGUGCUCUACAUGUUCCAUGACGCUUGCAGAGACUGUUGGACCUUCCAUUGGUCUCGUCUGCUCAAUCCGCUGGAGUCUGUCUUUGGGACCCGUCGGCUACCCUCACCUGGUUUAGCCGGCUUGUCGAAGCCGUUGCCCGGGGGGUGGCUGCUGUCACAUGCAAACAGCUACAGGGAGCCACAAGUGAGAGCUGAGUGCCAGGUGGGGACCAAAGGUGGACAAAUUGCCUUGAAAAGGACGCGACAUGUUUCCCCACCAGAGGUGCUACCCCUCCCUGACACCCCAUACACCAUUUUUAGAGAGAAGGGUAAGGCUGACGCAGGGCCAGGGCUGCUGAGCAAUAGUGAAGAACUGGGGAAGAAAAGGGAGGCAGUUGUCAGGUACAGGCAGGUGGGAUCAAGUCAGUCCUCGAGGAGUGUAGGGGGUGUAGAAGUAUCCUUAUGAAGGAAAUUAGGAGGGAAGAAGGGACAUCAAGUAGCUUCUGCAAUAAGGAUAACCUAAAGAGAUUCUACAAGUAUGUUAAGGGCAGUAGAGUAACUGGGGAGAGGAUGGGGUCAACAAGGUCAUCUACAGAAAGUGAGAAUCUAUAGGAGAUGGGUGAGGUUCUUAAAGAAUAUUUCUCUUCUGUAUUUACCACAGGGAACGAUAUGGAUGCUAGGAAACUCCGGAAGUUAGAACAUAGAAUAUAAUACAGCCCAGUACAGGCCCCUCGGCCAACGAGGCUGCAUCAACUUUUUAACCUACUCUAAGAACAACCUAACCAUUCCAUCCUACAAAGCCUUCCAUUUUCUAUCACCCAUAUGCCUAUCUAAGAGUUUCUUAAAUGAUCCAGUUGUAUCUGCCUGGGUCAUUUUUUACAUUCUUUGUAAAAAAAAACUAACCUCUGACAUCCUCCCUAUACUUUCCUCUGAUCACCUUAAAAUUAUGACCCCUCGUAUUAGCCAUUUCUGCCUGGGAAAAAGUCUCUGAUUAUCCACUUGAUCUAUGCCUUUUAUCACCUUGUACACCUCUAUCAAGUCACCUCUCAUUCCUCUAGCUUUAAAGAGAAAAACCCAAGCUUGCUCAGUCUAUUUUUGUUGGACAUGCUCCCCAACCUGGUAAAUCUGCUCUGCACCCUCUGUAAAACUUCCACAUCCUUCCUAUAAUGAAGUGAUCAGAAGUGAACACAAUAUUCCAAGAGUGGUCUAAAGAGGGUUUGAUAGAGCUGCAACAUUACUUUGCAGCUCUUGAACUGAGUCUCCUGACUGAUAAAGGCCAACAACAACAUACACCUUCUUAACAACCUUAUCACCUUCCGUGACAACCUGGACGGAACUAUGGAUGUGAACUCCGAGAUCCCUCUGUUCCCUCAGACUACUAACAAUCCUGCCAUUACCUAUGUAUUUUCUGCCUUGCAAUUUGACCUUCCAAAGUGAAUGAUUUGCACUUUUCCAGGUUGAGCUCUAUCUGCCACUUCUCAGACCAACUCUGCAUCCUGCCAAUGUCCCAUUGAAACCUAUGAUAACCCUCCACACUAUACACAACUCCACCAAACUUUGUGUCAUCUGCAGAUUUACUAACCCACCCUUCUACUUCCUCAUCCAAGUCAUGUAUAAAAAAACACACCCAAAGAGCAGGGGACCCAGAACAAAUCCCUGCAGCACACCACUUGUCACAGAUCUCUAGACCUCUACAACCUAUGCCUUCUCUGGACAAGCCAAUUCUGUAUCCAUACAAUCAGGUUUCCCUGGAUCCCAUGCCUCCCAGCUUUCUGAAUGAGCCUACCCUUUGGGAAACCUUAUUACAUGCCUUUCUAAAACCCAUAUAUGGCCCAACCUUCAUCAAUAUGCUUUGUCACAAAGAGUUCAAUCAGGCCCGUGAGGCAUGACCUGCUCCUCACAAAACUAUGCUGGCUAUCCCUAAUCAGACUAUAUUUCUCUAAAUGCCCAUAUGUCCUGUCUCUAAGAGUUGUUUCCAAUAAAUUUACCAACACUGAAUAAAACUCACUGAUUCUUAUUCCUAGCGUUGCCCCUAUUUCUUGAACAAAGAAAUAAUAUUUGCCACUCUCCAAUCCUUUGGUACUACUCCUUUGGCCAGUGAGGUUGAAAAGAUCAUUGCCAAUGGCACAGCAAUCUUGUCCCUCACUUCCUGUAGUAUCCCAUUUGUCCCUGGGAACUUACCUAUAGUAAUGUCUUUUUCAAGAGUUCCAGCACAUUCUCUUUCUUAACAUUGACAUUUUCUAAUACUGUACAUCAGCCUAUUUUACAUUGCUCUUACAAACCUCAAGAACCCCUCACUGGUGAAUACUGAAACAAAGUAUUCAUUAAGGACUUCCCCUACCUCCGAUAACUCCAGGCACAUUUCUUCUGCUACGAUCCAUGGCUUUCCCUUGUGCCAUGAUGAGGCCACCCUCAGGGACGAGGAGCAACAUCUUAUAUUCUGUCUGGGACGCCUCCAACCUGAUGGCAUGAAUAUUGAUUUCUCCUUCCUGUAAAAAAAUUUCCCUCCUCUUCCUCUUUUCUUCUAUUCUGCACUCUGGCCUCUUCCCUCUUGUCACCUGCCUAUCAUCUUCCCCUGGGGUCUCCUCCUCCACCCCUUUCUUCUAUGGUCCAUUCUCCUCUCCUAUCAGAUUCCCUCAUCGCCAGACCUUUUUGUUUCCCACCCACCUGGCUUCACCUAUCACCUUCUAGCUAUCCUCCUUCCCCUCAACCCACCUUUUUAAUCCAGCAGCUUUCUCCUUCCUUUCCAAUCCUGAAAAAAGGGUCUUGGCUCAAAACAGCGAAUAUUAUUCCUCUCCAGAAAUGCUGCUUGACCUGUUGCCAACAGCAGUUUGUGUGUGUUGCUUUGGGUUUGGAUUUCCAGCAUCUGUAGAAUUUAUUGUGUUUAUGUUUUCCUCUAAUAUCCUUGGCUGGUCCUACCUUCACUCUAGAUAUCCCCUGUUCUUCGCAUACGUGUUGAUCUCCUUGGGAUUUUUCUUAACAGUUAAUAGUGAUAUGAGGGGUGAUUGAUAUGUUCAUGGCC